rnacentral:rRNA from 1 species
AGCAGCCGCCGCGGGAAUACGAAGGGGGCUAGCGUUGCUCGGAAUUACUGGGCGUAAAGGGAGCGUAGGCGGACAUUUAAGUCAGGGGUGAAAUCCCAGAGCUCAACUCUGGAACUGCCUUUGAUACUGGGUGUCUUGAGUGUGAUAGAGGUAUGUGGAACUCCGAGUGUAGAGGUGAAAUUCGUAGAUAUUCGGAAGAACACCAGUGGCGAAGGCGACAUACUGGAUCAUUACUGACGCUGAGGCUCGAAAGCGUGGGGAGCAAACAGGAUUAGAUACCCCCGUAGUCCCUGUCUCUUAUAC